AUCGGAGGGGGGGAAGGGAAUCAUGUCUUUCGAUCUCAUAUGCUGAAGCCGUCCUGCAGCUACUUCGGAUCCUCCUAAGAUCUGUACAGCUGAGGACCAAAAGAAGAAAGAUGAUGAGGAUCUGUCGGCGGAGGAUUUGGCUUUGAAACAACAGUUGGAGCUAUAUGUAGAGAGAGUUCAGGAUUCCGAUCCUGGGUUACAAAAAGUAGGUCUUGAGAGCAUGAGUAUGUGAGGAACUUGGCUGGAGAAAUUGCACAAGAGUAUGGGAAGCGACA